UACGUAGGUGGCGAGCGUUAUCCGGAAUGAUUGGGCGUAAAGGGUGCGUAGGCGGCCUGCUAAGUCUGGAGUGAAAGGUACCGGCUCAACCGGUACAGGCUCUGGAAACUGGCGGGCUAGAGAGCAGGAGAGGGCGGUGGAACUCCAUGUGUAGCGGUAAAAUGCGUAGAUAUAUGGAAGAACACCGGCGGCGAAGGCGGCUUUCUGGACAGAAACUGACAUUGAGGCACGAAAGUGUGGGGAGCAAACAGG
rnacentral:rRNA from 1 species